AAUAUACAUGGCGGAAGUUAUUUUAGCUAGGAGAUCUUGCAAGUAUCCCGACAAGAAGUUUCUGUUUGAAGUCAUCACUAAAAAGAGAACUUACUACAUGAUGGCGUCUAGUCAGGACGAGACGGACGCUCUCACAACCAUUCUGAUCCCUGAGAUACACAAUAACUGCAACAACUCGGACGCUUCCUCCUUGAGUUCCUCUUGAAAGGAGAUGUCUCAACUUGUCUCUACUUCAGAGACACUGCCUAUUAAAUUAAAUAUAUAGGACUUCUUCAGUUCAAUGCCCGCGUUUCAUUGAAACACUGAUACAGUUUGAAUAUGCUAAGGUGGUCAUCAGUGUCAGACUUUUAGAAGUAUAGAGUAGAACAAGAUCGCACGGUGACAUUUUCACCGAAAGCGAGUUUUAAGAGUUAAAGUUAUUAGUUUUCGCAAUUUUAUCGAUGCGUUUUCCUUAUAAUAUUUUUCCAUCAUUAAUAUUCUGUUCGUAUGAUUAUUUACAUUCCUUUCGGCAUUAAGCACUUUUUUGGGAACGGCUAACAAAUUAGUUACUCGGCAAGUUGAUUUAUACAUCCUGAUUAAAGUUUUGAUUUUAUACGGUUAAUGUUCUAAUUUUUAUGAUUGAAUGUUGCACUCUUUAUAAUCCAAA